rnacentral:rRNA from 1 species
UACAGAGGGGGCGAGCGUUGUUCGGAAUUACUGGGCGUAAAGGGCGCGUAGGCGGCACGGCAAGUCGGGCGUGAAAGGCCUGGGCUCAACCGAGGAACUGCUUUCGAGACUGCCGAGCUAGAGUGCGGAAGGGGCAACUGGAAUUCCCAGUGUAGCGGUGAAAUGCGUAGAUAUUGGGAAGAACACCUGAGGCGAAGGCGGGUUGCUGGGCCGACACUGACGCUGAGGCGCGAAAGCCAGGGGAGCAAACGGG